AUGUGCGCCACUUGCUGGCAUAAUACUCGACAUUUUGCCAGCCCUUUAGCCCUGCCUCUUGAAUUCUCUUGCAUCCCCUUUGGUCCCAUACACAUGUGGAAUAUCUGUUCUUCUAUGGAGAAUGAUCUUUGCUAUAGUCAUCAUGUAUACGAGGAAUAUUAUCUCAGCUACCUUUACCUGCUGCUGACCUCCAUUUGCACUGAGUAGGGUUUAAAAACUCUGAAUUAAUGCUGCAGCUGGUUGUGGGAACAGUUAAUAGUAGAUAAAAAUUGACUAUUUUUAUUUUUCUGUUUCAACAAGUUUUUCAUUGUUGUCUGAUGAUUACUUAAGUGAAACACUUAGGGACUGUUAAUGUUUUUUAAGCUUUGUUUAAGAUUUGAAUUCUUGUAUUUAUAAGGAACAAUGUUAAUGGUGUUUUUUACAGUAAAUGACAAGCCUUUGUUUAUUUUUAAAUACCUUUUAGCUUUGUAGAUUAUAUCUAUGUGUGAUUACCAGAAAUGCUCUGAUGUUAGGACCUUUCUGAUUUUUCUUUACUGUUUAACUAAUACAAAGGAUAGAUGUAUGAAUUUCAGCUGUUUUAUUUUCCAAACAUUCUAUAGUUUUCUUCUUAAUAUGUAACAAAUUCAAAGUUAUGAGUAGGAUGUAGCUAUAAUCAUUAUUUUCAUUAUGAAUUCAGACAAACUUUUUGUCAUUUUCAUUGUGUAAGACAAAGUAAAUGCUAACAAAAUGAAAGCACAUAAUUAAAAAACAAUUAAUGCUGUUGCUCACCCUAUAUUCAAUUAUGCUCAUUCAUUAAACGCUCCCAAGAGUGACUAUCAUCCCUCUAUAAAUAAGUUGUUAUGCUACAGAAUUCAAUAGGAAGCCAC
rnacentral:lncRNA from 1 species